UACAGAGGUCUCAAGCGUUGUUCGGAUUCAUUGGGCGUAAAGGGUGCGUAGGCGGCGCGGUAAGUCGGGUGUGAAAUCUUGGAGCUUAACUCCGAAACUGCAUUCGAUACUGCCGUGCUUGAGGACUGGAGAGGAGACUGGAAUUUACGGUGUAGCGGUGAAAUGCGUAGAUAUCGUGAGGAAGACCAGUGGCGAAGGCGGAUCUCUGGAGAGUUCCUGACGCUGAGGCACGAAGGCCAGGGGAGCAAACGGG
rnacentral:rRNA from 1 species